GAAGUGCGAAUGCUGACAUAAGUAACGAUAAAGCGGGUGAAAAGCCCGCUCGCCGCAAGCCCAAGGUUUCCUGCUCUACGUUCAUCGGAGCAGGGUGAGUCGGCCCCUAAGGCCAGGCUGAGAAGCGUAGUCGAUGGGAAUCAGGUUAAUAAUCCUGAACCGCAUCAGAAUGCGAUGGGGGGACGGAGUUUGGAAGGUCAUCCGGGUGUUGGAUAUCCCGGUUUGUGAGAGUAGGAGGUUCGCAGGCAAAUCCGCGGACAUAUCUCCGAGUCAAAGCAUCGAGCUUUCGUUAGAAAGUGAAGUGAUUGGAAGAACUUCCAGGAAAAGCCUCUAAGCUUCAGUUUUGAUGUGACCGUACCGUAAACCGACACUGGUGGGCGAGUUGAAUAUACUAAGGCGCUUGAGAGAACUCGGGAGAAGGAACUCGGCAAAUUGACACCGUAACUUCGGAAGAAGGUGUGCCCGUGUAACGAGGCAAGGGGAAACCCCUUGAGCGUGAAAGGGUCUCAGAGAAAUGGUGGCUGCGACUGUUUAUCAAAAACACAGCACUCUGCAAAGACGAAAGUCGACGUAUAGGGUGUGAUGCCUGCCCGGUGCUGGAAGAUUAAGUGAUGAGCUGCAAGGUUCUGAUCGAAGUCCCAGUAAACGGCGGCCGUAACUAUAACGGUCCUAAGGUAGCGAAAUUCCUUGUCGGGUAAGUUCCGACCUGCACGAAUGGCAUAACGAUGGCCACACUGUCUCCUCCCGAGACUCAGUGAAGUUGAAAUGUUUGUGAUGAUGCAAUCUCCCCGCGGCUAGACGGACAGACCCCAUGAACCUUUACUGUAGCUUUACAUUGGACUUUGAACCGAUCUGUGUAGGAUAGGCGGGAGGCUGUGAACGAAGUACGCCAGUACGUCGGGAGCCGACGUUGAAAUACCGCCCUGAUUUGUUUGAGGUUCUAACCGCGAUCGGUUAUCCCGGUCCGGGACCGUGUAUGGUAGGCAGUUUGACUGGGGCGGUCUCCUCCUAAAGGGUAACGGAGGAGUACAAAGGUACGCUAGGUACGGUCGGAAAUCGUGCUGAUAGUGCAAUGGCAUAAGCGUGCUUGACUGCGAGACCGACAAGUCGAGCAGAUGCGAAAGCAGGUCAUAGUGAUCCGGUGGCUUCUGAAUGGAAGGGCCAUCGCUCAACGGAUAAAAGGUACUCUGGGGAUAACAGGCUGAUACCGCCCAAGAGUUCAUAUCGACGGCGGUGUUUGGCAC
rnacentral:rRNA from 1 species